rnacentral:lncRNA from 10 species
AAAAAAAAAAGAAAGAAAAAUGCAAGUUUCUUUCAAAAUAAAGAGACAUUUUUCCUAGUUUCAGGAAUCCCCCAAAUCACUUCCUCAUUGGCUUAGUUUAAAGCCAGGAGACUGAUAAAAGGGCUCAGGGUUUGUUCUUUAAUUCAUUAACUAAACAUUCUGCUUUUAUUACAGUUAAAUGGUUCAAGAUGUAACAACUAGUUUUAAAGGUAUUUGCUCAUUGGUCUGGCUUAGAGACAGGAAGACAUAUGAGCAAUAAAAAAAAGAUUCUUUUGCAUUUACCAAUUUAGUAAAAAUUUAUUAAAACUGAAUAAAGUGCUGUUCUUAAGUGCUUGAAAGACGUAAACCAAAGUGCACUUUAUCUCAUUUAUCUUAUGGUGGAAACACAGGAACAAAUUCUCUAAGAGACUGUGUUUCUUUAGUUGAGAAGAAACUUCAUUGAGUAGCUGUGAUAUGUUCGAUACUAAGGAAAAACUAAACAGAUCACCUUUGACAUGCGUUGUAGAGUGGGAAUAAGAGAGGGCUUUUUAUUUUUUCGUUCAUACGAGUAUUGAUGAAGAUGAUACUAAAUGCUAAAUGAAAUAUAUCUGCUCCAAAAGGCAUUUAUUCUGACUUGGAGAUGCAACAAAAACACAAAAAUGGAAUGAAGUGAUACUCUUCAUCAAACAGAAGUGACUGUUAUCUCAACCAUUUUGUUAAAUCCUAAACAGAAAACAAAAAAAAUCAUGACGAAAAGACACUUGCUUAUUAAUUGGCUUGGAAAGUAGAAUAUAGGAGAAAGGUUACUGUUUAUUUUUUUUCAUGUAUUCAUUCAUUCUACAAAUAUAUUCGGGUGCCAAUAGGUACUUGGUAUAAGGUUUUUGGCCCCAGAGACAUGGGAAAAAAAUGCAUGCCUUCCCAGAGAAUGCCUAAUACUUUCCUUUUGGCUUGUUUUCUUGUUAGGGGCAUGGCUUAGUCCCUAAAUAACAUUGUGUGGUUUAAUUCCUACUCCGUAUCUCUUCUACCACUCUGGCCACUACGAUAAGCAGGUAGCUGGGUUUUGUAGUGAGCUUGCUCCUUAAGUUACAGGAACUCUCCUUAUAAUAGACACUUCAUUUUCCUAGUCCAUCCCUCAUGAAAAAUGACUGACCACUGCUGGGCAGCAGGAGGGAUGAUGACCAACUAAUUCCCAAACCCCAGUCUCAUUGGUACCAGCCUUGGGGAACCACCUACACUUGAGCCACAAUUGGUUUUGAAGUGCAUUUACAAGGUUUGUCUAUUUUCAGUUCUUUACUUUUUACAUGCUGACACAUACAUACACUGCCUAAAUAGAUCUCUUUCAGAAACAAUCCUCAGAUAACGCAUAGCAAAAUGGAGAUGGAGACAUGAUUUCUCAUGCAACAGCUUCUCUAAUUAUACCUUAGAAAUGUUCUCCUUUUUAUCAUCAAAUCUGCUCAAGAAGGGCUUUUUAUAGUAGAAUAAUAUCAGUGGAUGAAAACAGCUUAACAUUUUACCAUGCUUAAGUUUUAAGAAUAAAAUAAAAAUUGGAAAUAAUUGGCCAAAAUUGAAAGGAAAAAUUUUUUUAAAAUUUCUCUAAAUGUAGGCCUGGCUGGGCUUUGACCUUUUCCGUUUUUAAAUCACUCACAGAGGGUGGGACAGGAGGAAGAGUGAAGGAAAAGGUCAAACCUGUUUUAAGGGCAACCUGCCUUUGUUCUGAAUUGGUCUUAAGAACAUUACCAGCUCCAGGUUUAAAUUGUUCAGUUUCAUGCAGUUCCAAUAGCUGAUCAUUGUUGAGAUGAGGACAAAAUCCUUUGUCCUCACUAGUUUGCUUUACAUUUUUGAAAAGUAUUAUUUUUGUCCAAGUGCUUAUCAACUAAACCUUGUGUUAGGUAAGAAUGGAAUUUAUUAAGUGAAUCAGUGUGACCCUUCUUGUCAUAAGAUUAUCUUAAAGCUGAAGCCAAAAUAUGCUUCAAAAGAAGAGGACUUUAUUGUUCAUUGUAGUUCAUACAUUCAAAGCAUCUGAACUGUAGUUUCUAUAGCAAGCCAAUUACAUCCAUAAGUGGAGAAGGAAAUAGAUAAAUGUCAAAGUAUGAUUGGUGGAGGGAGCAAGGUUGAAGAUAAUCUGGGGUUGAAAUUUUCUAGUUUUCAUUCUGUACAUUUUUAGUUAGACAUCAGAUUUGAAAUAUUAAUGUUUACCUUUCAAUGUGUGGUAUCAGCUGGACUCAGUAACACCCCUUUCUUCAGCUGGGGAUGGGGAAUGGAUUAUUGGAAAAUGGAAAGAAGAAAGUAACUAAAAGCCUUCCUUUCACAGUUUCUGGCAUCACUACCACUACUGAUUAAACAAGAAUAAGAGAACAUUUUAUCAUCAUCUGCUUUAUUCACAUAAAUGAAGUUGUGAUGAAUAAAUCUGCUUUUAUGCAGACACAAGGAAUUAAGUGGCUUCGUCAUUGUCCUUCUACCUCAAAGAUAAUUUAUUCCAAAAGCUAAGAUAAAUGGAAGACUCUUGAACUUGUGAACUGAUGUGAAAUGCAGAAUCUCUUUUGAGUCUUUGCUGUUUGGAAGAUUGAAAAAUAUUGUUCAGCAUGGGUGACCACCAGAAAGUAAUCUUAAGCCAUCUAGAUGUCACAAUUGAAACAAACUGGGGAGUUGGUUGCUAUUGUAAAAUAAAAUAUACUGUUUUG